CGGGGUGUAGCUCAGUUGGCUAGAGCAUCUGCUUUGGGAGCAGAGGGUCGCAGGUUCGAGCCCUGUCACCCCGACCA
rnacentral:tRNA from 1 species